rnacentral:rRNA from 1 species
AAUAGAAUACCCAGGUAGUCCACGCCGUAAACGAUGGAUGCUAGCUGUUAUGAGUAUCGACCCUUGUAGUAGCGUAGCUAACGCGUUAAGCAUCCCGCCUGUGGAGUACGGUCGCAAGACUAAAACAUAAAGGAAUUGACGGGGACCCGCACAAGCGGUGGAGCGUGUUGUUUAAUUCGAUGGUAAGCGAAGAACCUUACCCAGGCUUGACAUCCUGCUAAUCACUCCGAAAGGAGAGAGUGCCUUCGGGCCGCAGUGACAGGUGUUGCAUGGCCGUCGUCAGCUCGUGUCGUGAGAUGUUUGGUUAAGUCCAUCAACGAGCGCAACCCUUAUAGUUAGUUGUAUUUCUCUAGCUAGACUGCCCUGACAACAGGGGAGGAAGGAGGGGAUGAUGUCAGGUCAGUAUUACCCUUACGCCUGGGGCUACAAACACGCUACAAUGGCCGGUACAAAGGGCAGCCAACCCGGCGAGGGGGAGCAAAUCCCAUCAAAGCCGGUCUCAGUUCGGAUUGCAGGCUGAAACUCG